AUUGAACGCUGGCGGCAGGCCUAACACAUGCAAGUCGAGCGGAUGACGGGAGCUUGCUCCUGGAUUCAGCGGCGGACGGGUGAGUAAUGCCUAGGAAUCUGCCUGGUAGCGGGGGACAACGUUUCGAAAGGAACGCUAAUACCGCAUACGUCCUACGGGAGAAAGCAGGGGACGUUCGGGCCUUGCGCGAUCAGAUGAGCCUAGGUCGGAUUAGCUGAUUGGUGGGGUAAUGGCUCACCAAGGCGACGAUCCGGAACUGGUCUGAGAGGAUGAUCAGUCACACUGGAACUGAGACACGGUCCAGACUCCUACGGGAGGCAGCAGUGGGGAAUAUUGGACAAUGGGCGAAAGCCUGAUCCAGCCAUGCCGCGUGUGUGAAGAAGGUCUUCGGAUUGUAAAGCACUUUAAGUUGGGAGGAAGGGUUGUAGAUUAAUACUCUGCAAUUUUGACGUUACCGACAGAAUAAGCACCGGCUAACUCUGUGCCAGCCGCCGCAGAA
rnacentral:rRNA from 1 species